rnacentral:rRNA from 1 species
UACGUAGGGGGCUAGCGUUGUCCGGAAUCAUUGGGCGUAAAGAGCGUGUAGGCGGUCCGGUAAGUCCGCUGUGAAAGUCGGGGGCUCAACCCUCGAAUGCCGGUGGAUACUGUCGGGCUAGAGUACGGAAGAGGCGAGUGGAAUUCCUGGUGUAGCGGGUGAAAUGCGCAGAUAUCAGGAGGAACACCUAUUGCGAAGGCAGCUCGCUGGGACGUAACUGACGCUGAGACCGCGAAAGCGUGGGGAGCAAACAGG